rnacentral:rRNA from 1 species
GAUGAACGCUGGCGGCGUGCCUAAUACAUGCAAGUCGAGCGAACAGAUGAGGAGCUUGCUCCUCUGACGUUAGCGGCGGACGGGUGAGUAACACGUGGAUAACCUACCUAUAAGACUGGGAUAACUUCGGGAAACCGGAGCUAAUACCGGAUAAUAUAUUGAACCGCAUGGUUCAAUAGUGAAAGACGGUUUUGCUGUCACUUAUAGAUGGAUCCGCGCCGCAUUAGCUAGUUGGUAAGGUAACGGCUUACCAAGGCAACGAUGCGUAGCCGACCUGAGAGGGUGAUCAGCCACACUGGAACUGAGACACGGUCCAGACUCCUACGGGAGGCAGCAGUGGGGAAUCUUCCGCAAAGGGCGAAAGCCUGACGGAGCAACGCCGCGUGAGUGAUGAAGGUCUUCGGAUCGUAAAACUCUGUUAUUAGGGAAGAACAAAUGUGUAAGUAACUAUGCACGUCUUGACGGUACCUAAUCAGAAAGCCACGGCUAACUACGUG